CUAGCGGCGCGCUUAAUGCAUGCAAGUCGAGCGAUGAGGCUCCUUCGGGGGUACAUCAGCGGCAGACGGGUGAGUAACACGUAGGUGACCUACCCUCGAGACGGGGAUAACGGCUGGAAACAGUCGCUAAUACCCGAUAGACUUACCAGGUCAAAGCGGUAAGAAAAGCUACGGUGCUUGGGGAGGGGCCUGCGGCCCAUCAGCUAGUUGGUAGGGUAACGGCCUACCAAGGCGAAGACGGGUAGGGGGUGUGAGAGCACGAGCCCCCACAAUGGGACUGCGACACGGCCCAUACUCCUACGGGAGGCAGCAGCAGGGAAUAUUGCACAAUGGACGGAAGUCUGAUGCAGCGACGCCGCGUGAGUGAAGACGGCCUUCGGGUUGUAAAGCUCUUUUACGGGGGACGAGGAAGGACGGUACCCUGGGAAGAAGUGUCGGCUAACUACGUGCCAGCAGCCGCGGUAAGACGUAGGACACAAGCGUUAUCCGGAGUUACUGGGCGUAAAGCGCCUGCAGGCGGCCUGGUAAGUUGGACGUGAAAGCCCCGUGCUUAACGCGGGGAGGUCGGACAAUACUGCCAAGCUAGAGUGCGUCAGAGGGGAGUGGAGUUUCCGGAGUAGCGGUAAAAUGCGCAGAUAUCGGAAGGAACACCAGUGGCGAAAGCGACUCCCUGGGGCGCGACUGACGCUAAGAGGCGAAAGCUAGGGGAGCGAACAGGAUUAGAGACCCUGGUAGUCCUAGCCCUAAACGAUGGAUGCUAGGUGUGGGACGUAAAGUUCCGUGCCGGAGCCAACGCGGUAAGCAUCCCGCCUGGGGACUACGGUCGCAAGGCUAAAACUCAAACGAAUUGACGGGGACCCGCACAAGCAGCGGAGCGUGUGGUUCAAUUCGAUGCCACACGAAGAACCUUACCUGGGUUUGACAUGUACGUGGUAGAGAAGCGUUAAUUGGAUUGACCUUUCGGGGAGCGUACACAGGUUGCUGCAUGGCUGUCGUCAGCUCGUGCCGUGUAGGUUGUUCGGGUUAAGUCCCGUAACGAGCGCUACCCUUAUCCUUAGUUGCACGUAUCUAGGGUUACUGCCGUCGGGAAGCCGGGAGGAAGGUUGGGUAUGACGUCAAGUCAAGCAUGGCCCUUAUGUCCAGGGCUUCACACACGCUACUAUGGCCGGUACAAAGGGCAGCAAAAUUCGCGAGGCGGAGCGAAUCCCAACUAAGCCUCGGUCGUAGUUCGGAUUGCAGGCUGCAACUCGCCUGCAUGAAGCUGUAGUUGCUAGUAACCGCGCGUC
rnacentral:rRNA from 1 species